CAGGCCUAACACAUGCAAGUCGAGCGGUGAACCCUUCGGGGGGAUCAGCGGCGAACGGGUGAGUAACACGUGAGCAACCUGCCCCUGACUCUGGGAUAGCCUCGGGAAACCGGGAUUAAUACCGGAUAUGACACCUCCUCGCAUGGGGUGGUGUGGCAAGUUUUUCGGUCAGGGAUGGGCUCGCGGCCUAUCAGCUUGUUGGUGGGGUGAUGGCCUACCAAGGCGACGACGGGUAGCCGGCCUGAGAGAGUGACCGGCCACACUGGGACUGAGAUACGGCCCAGACUCCUACGGGAGGCAGCAGUGGGGAAUAUUGCGCAAUGGGCGAAAGCCUGACGCAGCGACGCCGCGUGAGGGAUGAAGGCCUUCGGGUUGUAAACCUCUUUCAGCAGGGAAGAAGCGCAAGUGACGGUACCUGCAG
rnacentral:rRNA from 1 species